rnacentral:rRNA from 1 species
CCUACGGGAGGCAGCAGUGGGGAAUUUUGGACAAUGGGGGCAACCCUGAUCCAGCCAUGCCGCGUGCGGGAAGAAGGCCUUCGGGUUGUAAACCGCUUUUGUCAGGGACGAAAAGGCUGAGUUUAAGAGAUACAGCCGAUGACGGUACCUGAAGAAUAAGCACCGGCUAACUACGUGCCAGCAGCCGCGGUAAUACGUAGGGUGCAAGCGUUAAUCGGAAUUACUGGGCGUAAAGCGUGCGCAGGCGGUUGGGUAAGACAGAUGUGAAAUCCCCGGGCUUAACCUGGGAACUGCAUUUGUGACUGUCCGACUCGAGUAUGUCAGAGGGGGGUGGAAUUCCAAGUGUAGCAGUGAAAUGCGUAGAUAUUUGGAAGAACACCGAUGGCGAAGGCAGCCCCCUGGGGCAAAACUGACGCUCAUGCACGAAAGCGUGGGGAGC